rnacentral:rRNA from 1 species
AUGGCGAAGAACCACGGAGCUGCCGCUCUCGUGAUCGCGUCCCUUCUCGUCGCGGUCACCCUCGCCGACGCCAGGGUCGCCGUGCAGGUGCGCCGCGACCUGAACGAAGGUCACGUGGUGCCGGCGAGCGACGCGAAGGCGGCGCCGGCGCUGACGUGCAGCAAGGUGCAGGGGCUGAAGGCGGGCGAGACCUGCUUCUCCGUCGCGCUGCUCGGAGGCCUGACCCUGGAGUCGUUCCUCGUCUUCAACCCCAACAUCGACUGCGCCAAGACCUUCGUCGGCCAGUGGGUCUGCCUCCGCGCCUCCACUGCUUGA